AUGGAUUACAACCCAGAGAUACUUUGCUGGAAUGUGCGGGGUUUAAAUAACCUAGCAAAAAGAAAGGCAGUGAGGGAGUUUAUAGUAUCGACCAAAGUAAACGUGGUGUGUCUGCAGGAGACAAAACUUAAUGUAAUUGAUCAAUUUGACAUUAUGCAAUGCAUUGGGCCAUCCUUUGAUGGUUUUUCUUACUUGCCGACGUCGGAGACCCGUGGUGGCAUACUUUUGGCAUGGGACUCCAUGGUGGUGUCCGUGGAUAGUGUGGUGAUCGACACCUAUUGUAUCACAGGAUGGGUGACUACAAAGGAAGGGAACAUGUGGUGGCUUACUGGUGUUUAUGGGCCACGGGGGGAUGAGGACAAAGUCGCAUUUUUGGACGAGCUACGUGCACAGAGAGCUUUGUGCCUCGGAUAG
rnacentral:rRNA from 1 species